GGUUAAAAAGCUCGUAGUUGGAUCUCGGCGGGCAGGGGGUGGUUCGCUCUUCAGCGCUACUGCCCCGCUUUGCCCGUGUGAUUGGCGGAGGUUUCGGGGUGCUCUUCGUUGAGUGACUCGGAGCGCCGUCAGGUUUACUUUGAAAAAAUUAGAGUGCUCAAAGCAGGCUUUUCACGCUUGAAUAUUCGUGCAUGGAAUAAUGGAAUAGGAACUCGUUUCUAUUUUGUUGGUUUUCGGAAAUCGAGUUAAUGAUUAACAGGGACAAUUGGGGGCAUUAGUAUUCAGACGACAGAGGUGAAAUUCUUGGACCGUCUGAAGACUGACUACUGCGAAAGCAUUUGCCAAGAGUGUUUUCAUUAAUCAAGAACGAAAGUUAGAGGUUCGAAGGCGAUCAGAUACCGCCCUAGUUCUAACCAUAAACGAUGCCAGCUAGCGAUCUGCCGAGUUUUUUUGUAGGCUCCGCAGGAAGCUUUCGGGAAACCAAAGCUUUUGGGUUCCGGGGGAAGUAUGGUUGCAAAGCUGAAACUUAAAGGAAUUGACGGAAGGGCACCACCAGGAGUGGAGCCUGCGGCUUAAUUUGAACUCAGCACGGGAAAUCUCGCCAGGCCCGGACACUGGAAGGAUUGACAGAUUGAGAGCUCUUUCUCGA
rnacentral:rRNA from 1 species